rnacentral:rRNA from 1 species
AGUGAACGCUGGCGGCGUGCUUAACACACGCAAGUCGAACGGUAGCAGAAACUAGCUUGCUAGUUUGCUGACGAGUGGCGCACGGGUGAGUAAUAUAUAGUUAAUGUACCCCAAAGACUGGGAUAGCCACUGGAAACGGUGAUUAAUACUAGAUACACCUUCUUAUCACAAGGUAAGAAGGGAAAUGUCUUUUCGCUUUGGGAUCAGACUAUAUCCUAUCAGCUAGUUGGUGAGGUAAAGGCUCACCAAGGCAAUGACGGGUAGCGGUUCUGAGAGGAUGAUCCGCCACACUGGUACUGAGACACGGACCAGACUCCUACGGGAGGCAGCAGUGAGGAAUAUUGCACAAUGGGGGGAACCCUGAUGCAGCAACGCCGCGUGGAGGAUGACGCAUUUCGGUGUGUAAACUCCUUUAUAUGUCAAGAAAUGACGGUAGCAUAUGAAUAAGCACCGGCUAACUCCGUGCCAGCAGCCGCGGUAAAGUA